rnacentral:rRNA from 1 species
UACGUAGGGUGCGAGCGUUGUCCGGAAUUACUGGGCGUAAAGAGCUCGUAGGUGGUUUGUCGCGUUGUUCGUGAAAACUCACAGCUUAACUGUGGGCGUGCGGGCGAUACGGGCAGACUGGAGUACUGCAGGGGAGACUGGAAUUCCUGGUGUAGCGGUGGAAUGCGCAGAUAUCAGGAGGAACACCGGUGGCGAGGGCGGGUCUCUGGGCAGUAACUGACGCUGAGGAGCGAAAGCGUGGGGAGCGAACAGG